CGGGCUGUGGCGCAGUCUGGUAGCGCGCUUGCAUGGGGUGCAAGAGGUCGGGAGUUCGAGUCUCCCCAGUCCGACCA
rnacentral:tRNA from 1 species